UACGUAGGGUGCGAGCGUUGCCCGGAAUUAUUGGGCGUAAAGAGCUCGUAGGCGGUCUGUCGCGUCUGCUGUGAAAACCCGAGGCUCAACCUCGGGCUUGCAGUGGGUACGGGCAGACUAGAGUGCGGUAGGGGAGAAUGGAAUUCCUGGUGUAGCGGUGGAAUGCGCAGAUAUCAGGAGGAACACCAAUGGCGAAGGCAGUUCUCUGGGCCGUAACUGACGCUGAGGAGCGAAAGCGUGGGGAGCAAACAGG
rnacentral:rRNA from 1 species